CCUACGGGGGGCAGCAGUAGGGAAUAUUGCUCAAUGGGGGAAACCCUGAAGCAGCAACGCCGCGUGGAGGAUGAAGGUUUUCGGAUUGUAAACCCCUUUUGUUAGAGAAGAUAAUGACGGUAUCUAACGAAUAAGCACCGGCUAACUCCGUGCCAGCAGCCGCGGUAAUACGGAGGGUGCAAGCGUUACUCGGAAUCACUGGGCGUAAAGAGCGCGUAGGCGGGAUAGCAAGUCAGAUGUGAAAUCCUAUGGCUUAACCAUAGAACUGCAUUUGAAACUGUUAUUCUAGAGUAUGGGAGAGGUAGGUGGAAUUCUUGGUGUAGGGGUAAAAUGCGUAGAGAUCAAGAAGAAUACUCAUUGCGAAGGCGACCUGCUAGAACAUAACUGACGCUGAUGCGCGAAAGCGUGGGGAGCAAACAGGAGUAGAUACCCUAGUAGUC
rnacentral:rRNA from 1 species